rnacentral:rRNA from 1 species
GUGGGGAAUUUUGGACAAUGGGCGAAAGCCUGAUCCAGCAAUGCCGCGUGCAGGAUGAAGGCCCUCGGGUUGUAAACUGCUUUUGUACGGAACGAAAAGCCUGGGGCUAAUAUCCCCGGGUCAUGACGGUACCGUAAGAAUAAGCACCGGCUAACUACGUGCCAGCAGCCGCGGUAAUACGUAGGGUGCAAGCGUUAAUCGGAAUUACUGGGCGUAAAGCGUGCGCAGGCGGUUUUGUAAGACAGUGGUGUAAUCCCCGGGCUCAACCUGGGAACUGCCAUUGUGACUGCAUAGCUAGAGGACGGCAGAGGGGGAUGGAAUUCCGCGUGUAGCAGUGAAAUGCGUAGAUAUGCGGAGGAACACCGAUGGCGAAGGCAAUCCCCUGGGCCUGUACUGACGCUCAUGCACGAAAGCGUGGGGAGCAAACAGGAUUAGAUACCCGAGUAGUCC